GGCCUCCUGAUACUUAUCACAGGCUGUGUUCUUACACUGAUUGUAUGGAAAUACGAGGAAAAGUUCACCUACCCCAUAUAAACCUCAACUCAGGCCCUGUGCCUGGUCUGUAUUGUAGAAAGGGAGACAUGG
rnacentral:snoRNA from 1 species